rnacentral:rRNA from 1 species
UACGUAGGGGGCAAGCGUUGUCCGGAAUCAUUGGGCGUAAAGAGCGCGUAGGCGGCCCUGUAAGUCCGCUGUGAAAGUCAAGGGCUCAACCCUUGGAUGCCGGUGGAUACUGCAGGGCUAGAGUCCGGAAGAGGCGAGUGGAAUCCUGGUGUAGCGGUGAAAUGCGCAGAUAUCAGGAGGAACACCGAUGGCGAAGGCAGCUCGCUGGGACGGUGACUGACGCUGAGGCGCGAAAGCGUGGGGAGCAAACAGG